rnacentral:tRNA from 1 species
AGAGGCGUAGCUCAGUUGGUAGAGCAUCGGUCUCCAAAACCGAGGGUCGUGAGUUCGAGUCUCUCCGCCUCUGCCA